GUGCUCGCUUUGGCAGCACAUAUACCAAAAUAGGAACACUACAGAAAAGAUUAACAUGGCCCCUGAACAAAAAACAACAUGUAAAGUCAUGAAGCAUUCCCUAUUUUU